rnacentral:rRNA from 1 species
UGGGGAAUAUUGGGCAAUGGGCGGAAGCCUGACCCAGCAACGCCGCGUGAAGGAAGAAGGCUUUCGGGUUGUAAACUUCUUUUGUCAGGGACGAAGCAAGUGACGGUACCUGACGAAUAAGCCACGGCUAACUACGUGCC